rnacentral:rRNA from 1 species
GAUGAACGCUGGCGGCGUGCCUAAUACAUGCAAGUCGAGCGAACAGACGAGGAGCUAGCUCCUCUGACGUUAGCGGCGGACGGGUGAGUAACACGUGGAUAACCUACCUAUAAGACUGGGAUAACUUCGGGAAACCGGAGCUAAUACCGGAUAAUAUAUUGAACCGCAUGGUUCAAUAGUGAAAGACGGUUUUGCUGUCACUUAUAGAUGGAUCCGCGCCGCAUUAGCUAGUUGGUAAGGUAACGGCUUACCAAGGCAACGAUGCGUAGCCGACCUGAGAGGGUGAUCGGCCACACUGGAACUGAGACACGGUCCAGACUCCUACGGGAGGCAGCAGUAGGGAAUCUUCCGCAAUGGGCGAAAGUCUGACGGAGCAACGCCGCGUGAGUGAUGAAGGUCUUCGGAUCGUAAAACUCUGUUAUUAGGGAAGAACAAAUGUGUAAGUAACUAUGCACGUCUUGACGGUACCUAAUCAGAAAGCCACGGCUAACUACGUG